GACGAACGCUGGCGGCGUGCCUAAUACAUGCAAGUUGAGCGCUGAAGGUUGGUACUUGUACCAACUGGAUGAGCAGCGAACGGGUGAGUAACGCGUGGGGAAUCUGCCUUUGAGCGGGGGACAACAUUUGGAAACGAAUGCUAAUACCGCAUAAAAACUUUAAACACAAGUUUUAAGUUUGAAAGAUGCAAUUGCAUCACUCAAAGAUGAUCCCGCGUUGUAUUAGCUAGUUGGUGAGGUAAAGGCUCACCAAGGCGAUGAUACAUAGCCGACCUGAGAGGGUGAUCGGCCACAUUGGGCCUGAGACACGGCCCAAACUCCUACGGGAGGCAGCAGUAGGGAAUCUUCGGCAAUGGACGAAAGUCUGACCGAGCAACGCCGCGUGAGUGAAGAAGGUUUUCGGAUCGUAAAACUCUGUUGGUAGAGAAGAACGUUGGUGAGAGUGGAAAGCUCAUCAAGUGACGGUAACUACCCAGAAAGGGACGGCUAACUACG
rnacentral:rRNA from 1 species